rnacentral:rRNA from 1 species
UACGUAGGCAGCGAGCGUUGUUCGGAGUUACUGGGCGUAAAGGGUGUGUAGGCGGUUGUUUAAGUUUGGUGUGAAAUCUCCCGGCUCAACUGGGAGGGUGCGCCGAAUACUGAAUGACUUGGAGUGCGGGAGAGGAAAGUGGAAUUCCUGGUGUAGGCGGUGAAAUGACGUAGAUAUCAGGAGGAACACCGGUGGUGUAGACGGCUUUCUGGACCGUAACUGACGCUGAGACACGAAAGCGUGGGUAGCAAACAGG